UGAAUGUGAAGGUGGUUUUUGGCAAUAUGGUUAUUUUCACAAUGCUGAUUCUGUCAAUCCAUAAGUAUGGGAUGUGUUUCCAUUUGUUUGAGUCAUCUAUCAUUUCUUUCAGCAGUGUUUGGUAGUUUUCCUCGUAGAGGUCUUUUGACUCCUUUGUUAGGUAUAUUCUUAAGUAUUUUUUUUGCAGCUGUUGAUAAAGGGGUU